rnacentral:piRNA from 1 species
UUGUAUCAUGUUUUUUCUCGU